rnacentral:rRNA from 1 species
CCUACGGGAGGCUGCAGUAGGGAAUCUUCCACAAUGGGCGAAAGCCUGAUGGAGCAACGCCGCGUGGGUGAAGAAGGUCUUAGGAUCGUAAAACCCUGUUGUUAGAGAAGAAAGUGCGUGAGAGUAACUGUUCACGUUUCGACGGUAUCUAACCAGAAAGCCAUGGAUAACUACGUGCCAGCAGCCGCGGUAAUACGUAGGUGGCAAGCGUUAUCCGGAUUUAUUGGGCGUAAAGGGAACGCAGGCGGUCUUUUAAGUCUGAUGUGAAAGCCUUCGGCUUAACCGGAGUAGUGCAUUGGAAACUGGGAGACGUGAGUGCAGAAGAGGAGAGUGGAACUCCAUGUGUAGCGGUGAAAUGCGUAGAUAUAUGGAAGAACACCAGUGGCGAAAGCGGCUCUCUGGUCUGGAACUGACGCUGAGGUUCGAAAGCGUGGGUAGCAAACAGGAUUAGAUACCCGAGUAGUC